UACGGGGGGGGCAAGCGUUGUUCGGAAUUACUAGGCGUAAAGGGCUCGUAGGCGGCCAACUAAGUCAGACGUGAAAUCCCUCGGCUUAACCGGGGAACUGCGUCUGAUACUGGAUGGCUUGAGUUUGGGAGAGGGAUGCGGAAUUCCAGGUGUAGCGGUGAAAUGCGCAGAUAUCAGGAAGAACACCAAUGGCGAAAGCAGCUUUCUGGGACGGUACUGACGCUGAGACGCGAAAGCGUGGGGAGCGAACAGG
rnacentral:rRNA from 1 species